rnacentral:rRNA from 1 species
GAUGAACGCUGGCGGCGUGCCUAAUACAUGCAAGUCGAGCGAACGGACGAGAAGCUUGCUUCUCUGAUGUUAGCGGCGGACGGGUGAGUAACACGUGGAUAACCUACCUAUAAGACUGGGAUAACUUCGGGAAACCGGAGCUAAUACCGGAUAAUAUUUUGAACCGCAUGGUUCAAAAGUGAAAGACGGUCUUGCUGUCACUUAUAGAUGGAUCCGCGCUGCAUUAGCUAGUUGGUAAGGUAACGGCUUACCAAGGCAACGAUGCAUAGCCGACCUGAGAGGGUGAUAGGCCACACUGGAACUGAGACACGGUCCAGACUCCUACGGGAGGCAGCAGUAGGGAAUCUUCCGCAAUGGGCGAAAGCCUGACGGAGCAACGCAGCGUGAGUGAUGAAAGUCUUCGGAUCGUAAAACUCUGUUAUUAGGGAAGAACAUAUGUGUAAGUAACUGUGCACAUCUUGACGGUACCUAAUCAGAAAGCCACGGCUAACUACGUG